UGGAUUAGUGGCGAACGGGUGAGUAACACGUGAGUAACCUGCCCUUAACUCUGGGAUAAGCCUGGGAAACUGGGUCUAAUACCGGAUAGGAGCGUCCACCGCAUGGUGGGUGUUGGAAAGAUUUAUCGGUUUUGGAUGGACUCGCGGCCUAUCAGCUUGUUGGUGAGGUAAUGGCCCACCAAGGCGACGACGGGUAGCCGGCCUGAGAGGGUGACCGGCCACACUGGGACUGAGACACGGCCCAG
rnacentral:rRNA from 1 species